UACAGAGGGUGCGAGCGUUGUCCGGAAUCACUGGGCGUAAAGGGCUCGUAGGCGGCCAACUAAGUCAGACGUGAAAUCCCUCGGCUUAACCGGGGAACUGCGUCUGAUACUGGAUGGCUUGAGGUUGGGAGAGGGAUGCGGAAUUCCAGGUGUAGCGGUGAAAUGCGUAGAUAUCUGGAGGAACACCGGUGGCGAAGGCGGCAUCCUGGACCGAGAUUGACGCUGAGGCGCGAAAGCCAGGGGAGCAAACGGG
rnacentral:rRNA from 1 species